GCGUUAAUCGGAAUUACUGGGCGUAAAGCGCACGCAGGCGGUCUGUCAAGUCGGAUGUGAAAUCCCCGGGCUCAACCUGGGAACUGCAUUCGAAACUGGCAGGCUAGAGUCUUGUAGAGGGGGGUAGAAUUCCAGGUGUAGCGGUGAAAUGCGUAGAGAUCUGGAGGAAUACCGGUGGCGAAGGCGGCCCCCUGGACAAAGACUGACGCUCAGGUGCGAAAGCGUGGGGAGCAAACAGGAUUAGAUACCCUGGUAGUCCACGCUGUAAACGAUGUCGAUUUGGAGGUUGUGCCCUUGAGGCGUGGCUUCCGGAGCUAACGCGUUAAAUCGACCGCCUGGGGAGUACGGCCGCAAGGUUAAAACUCAAAUGAAUUGACGGGGGCCCGCACAAGCGGUGGAGCAUGUGGUUUAAUUCGAUGCAACGCGAAGAACCUUACCUG
rnacentral:rRNA from 1 species